rnacentral:rRNA from 1 species
UACGUAGGGGGCAAGCGUUGUCCGGAAUCAUUGGGCGUAAAGAGCGUGUAGGCGGUUCGGUAAGUCGGCUGUGAAAGUCCAGGGCUCAACCCUGGGAUGCCGGUCGAUACUGCCGGACUAGAGUUCGGAAGAGGCGAGUGGAAUUCCCGGUGUAGCGGUGAAAUGCGCAGAUAUCGGGAGGAACACCUAUGGCGAAGGCAGCUCGCUGGGACGUUACUGACGCUGAGGUGCGAAAGCGUGGGGAGCAAACAGG